AGAGAGUUGGCAGAAGGUGAUGCAUUUAGCUUGAAACUAAAUUUAUGCAGGUUUAAGUCCUGUACUCUCUU
rnacentral:tRNA from 1 species